AUUGAACGCUGGCGGCAGGCCUAACACAUGCAAGUCGGGCGAGUGGCGGACGGGUGAGUAAUGUAUGGGGAACUGCCUGAUGGAGGGGGAUAACUACUGGAAACGGUAGCUAAUACCGCAUACCAUCAGAUGAACCCAUAUGGGAUUAGCUUGUAGGUGGGGUAACGGCUCACCAAGGCGACGAUCCCUAGCUGGUCUGAGAGGAUGAUCAGCCACACUGGAACUGAGACACGGCCCAGACUCAUACGGGAGGCAGCAGUGGGGAAUAUUGCAAAAUGGGCGCAAGCCUGAUGCAGCCAUGCCGCGUGUAUGAAGAAGGCCUUCGGGUUGUAAAGUACUUUCAGUGGGGAGGCGUUACCGACAGAAGAAGCACCGGCUAACUCCGUGCCAGCCGCCGCGGUAAUAC
rnacentral:rRNA from 1 species